rnacentral:rRNA from 1 species
UUCCGUAGGUGAACCUGGAAGG